rnacentral:rRNA from 1 species
CUACGGGCUGCUGCAGUGGGGAAUAUUGCACAAUGGGCGCAAGCCUGAUGCAGCCAUGCCGCGUGUAUGAAGAAGGCCUUCGGGUUGUAAAGUACUUUCAGCGGGGAGGAAAGGAGUAAAGUUAAUACCUUUGCUCAUUGACGUUACCCGCAGAAGAAGCACCGGCUAACUCCGUGCCAGCAGCCGCGGUAAUACGGAGGGUGCAAGCGUUAAUCGGAAUUACUGGGCGUAAAGCGCACGCAGGCGGUUUGUUAAGUCAGAUGUGAAAUCCCCGGGCUCAACCUGGGAACUGCAUCUGAUACUGGCAAGCUUGAGUCUCGUAGAGGGGGGUAGAAUUCCAGGUGUAGCGGUGAGAUGCGUAGAGAUCUGGAGGAAUACCGGUGGCGAAGGCGGCCCCCUGGACGAAGACUGACGCUCAGGUGCGAAAGCGUGGGGAGCAAACAGGAUUAGAUACCCCAGUAGUC